UUGUGAAGCAGUGCUCUGCGUCCUGCUGAAUGAUCUCCGGUGGGCUUCAGCAUCAGAAAUGCUCCCAGAUUUUUCCACACGUCACAGAACGAGGCAGACCCCGCGGGAAAACACACGCGCGCGCGCGCGCGAGCACGCCGACAGAGAGCUGCGCGUCAUCAGGAAUCAUACAAAGUUACAGAAACAUAAAAGCAGCUGCGCGAUAAGUUUUUUUCCCCCCCCCUCACGGUUAUUUAUAUAUGGUGAAUUCUGGUUUUGGUACAUUUUCUGUCGACAAAAUAGCAAAACGGUUAAAAAUAUUAUUACAUGUUUUCUCGUCAAAUAGGAUAGAAAUCACAUGCUUCCCGUCGAAAUAUCUGUUUAUGCUCCACAGAAGAAAUGUAGGUUUGUGACGAAGCCUCUGUCCCUACUUCCUGUUGACACGAGAUGAAUGUCCAUCACAUCCUGUCUCCAGCGCCGGUGCCUGGUGUUCGCGGCCUGAUUGACAGAUGAAUGAAUGGAGCCAAAGCUAUCUUCUCUAACAGAGACGUGACUGUUUCCCGUCUGCGGACGUGACGGCACUCAUCUCGAAGGACUCCUUGCUGGAGUUUUUGUGUCUGAGAAAAGCUUUUGCUCUUGUCAGCUGCCGCCGCUCCGGAUGGAGAGCAUGGAGGCGAUUCUUCAGCUGAAGCUGAAAUUCACUGCCCUUCACGGAGUGACGGACGUCAGGCUAAAUCACAGCCCUCUUCUGCACUGCAGAGUUAAUCAGCGUCACCGACACCGCAGGAACGUCUUCACACCGCUCAAUUUUCAGAACGAAAGGAGCUCGAGAGACUUGUUACAGACAGCAAGCCGUGGGGUCGCCAGAGCAGAAAUUCAGGGAUCUGCAAGAGCACAGGCUCAGCUGUAUCAGGUAUCUGGCAGAGAUAAACCACACCUUUGGGUUUACCACAACAGAAGAGUAAUGGAAGGCAACAAACAAAUCCACAGCUUAAACGGGGUCACCUCAUGAGCACUGAAAGCAUGGACGAACACAACAAAUAUGGGAUUUAAGGAUCUGAUUAUAUUGCACUGAUCCUCUCCUGGGGUGGUGUUAAGAAAAAGCUAAAGGAACACGACUUCAUCGUCUGGCAGAAGUUAUAUGCAAAAGAACCGGAUUUGCAGUUUCAAAACCAGACUUUCAUUUUUCUGAGGUAAAUGUGAGUGGGUCUCGCUCACGAUGCUGAGCGCUGUGGAAGGUUUCCAGAGCGUUGCUGCAAAAGCUUUCCGAGUCGUUUUAACAUGUUGCUAUGCGGUUGCUAUACUAGCCUAAAUCCGCCUGAUACUGUGGUCUGCACACAGUUUUCACAGUAUGGUUUCACAAACUAUCAAACACAUUGAAUUGAAUCUUACUCCAAUAAUCUUUGAAUAACCUUUUUUUACAGUUUGGGUUUCCUUUCUUAGUAAAUCUAUGGCGGAUUUUCAUGUUUUGUUUUGUUUUUGUCGGUAAACACCAAUGUAUUUCAGUUUAGAACUAUAUUUUCCUAAAUUUUAGAGAUCUCUGUUUCACUAAAAAAGCAUUUUCCCAUUCCAAACAGAAUAAAUUCAAAGUAAAUUCAAAAAUAA